AACGCGAAGAACCUUACCAGGGCUUGACAUGCACGAUGUAGCGCCAGAGAUGGCGUGUCCUUUUGGGUCGUGUGCAGGUGGUGCAUGGUUGUCGUCAGCUCGUGUCGUGAGAUGUUGGGUUAAGUCCCGCAACGAGCGCAACCCUUGUCUCGUAUUGCCAGCAACAUCCUUUUGGGUGGUUGGGGACUUGCGGGAGACUGCCGGGGUCAACUCGGAGGAAGGUGGGGAUGACGUCAAAUCAUCAUGCCCUUUAUGUCCUGGGCUGCACGCAUGCUACAAUGGCUGGUACAGAGGGUUGCGAUGCCGUGAGGUGGAGCGGAUCCCGGAAAGCCGGUCUCAGUUCGGAUCGGAGUCUGCAACUCGACUCCGUGAAGGUGGAGUCGCUAGUAAUCGCGGAUCAGCAGUGCCGCGGUGAAUACGUUCCCGGGCCUUGUACACACCGGAGUA
rnacentral:rRNA from 1 species